UACGUAGGACCCAAGCGUUAUCCGGAUUUACUGGGCGUAAAGAGUUGCGUAGGUGGUAUGUUAAGUAAAUAGUGAAAUCGUGUGGCUCAACCAUACAUCCAUUAUUUAAACUGGCAAACUUGAGAGCGAGAGAGGUAGAUGGAAUUACUAGUGUAGGAGUGAAAUCCGUAGAUAUUAGUAGGAACACCGAUGGCGUAGGCAGUCUACUGGCUCGUUUCUGACACUAAGGCACGAAAGCGUGGGGAGCAAACGGG
rnacentral:rRNA from 2 species